CACGUAGGAGGCAAACGUUAUCCGGAUUUACUGGGCGUAAAGCGCGUGUAGGUGGUUCUGUAAGUAGGGCGUGAAAGCUCCCGGCUCAACUGGGAGAGGCCGUUCUAAACUGCAGAGCUAGAGGAUGGUAGAGGGAGGUGGAAUUCCAGGUGUAGCGGUGGAAUGCGCAGAUAUCUGGAGGAACACCAGUGGCGAAGGCGGCCUCCUGGACCAUUCCUGACACUCAGACGCGAAAGCUAGGGUAGCAAACGGGAUUAGAUACCAGCGUAGU
rnacentral:rRNA from 1 species